rnacentral:rRNA from 1 species
CGAAGGGUGCAAGCGUUACUCGGAAUUACUGGGCGUAAAGCGUGCGUAGGUGGUCUGUUAAGUCUGAUGUGAAAGCCCCGGGCUCAACCUGGGAAUGGCAUUGGAUACUGGCAGUCUAGAGUGCGGUAGAGGGGUGUGGAAUUCCCGGUGUAGCAGUGAAAUGCGUAGAUAUCGGGAGGAACAUCCGUGGCGAAGGCGACACCCUGGACCAGCACUGACACUGAGGCACGAAAGCGUGGGAGCAAACAGGAUU